rnacentral:rRNA from 1 species
CGGGCGCGGCGCCGGUCUAAGUCCCUUGGAACGGGGCGUCAUAGAGGGUGAGAAUCCCGUAUGUGACCGGUGACCAACCCCAUGUGAAACUCCUUCGACGAGUCGAGUUGUUUGGGAAUGCAGCUCAAAAUGGGUGGUAUAUUUCAUCUAAAGCUAAAUACCGGCCAGAGACCGAUAGCGCACAAGUAGAGUGAUCGAAAGAUGAAAAGCACUUUGGAAAGAGAGUCAAAAAGUACGUGAAAUUGUUGAAAGGGAAGCGCUCGCAACCAGACCUGCCCGCGGCCGAUCAACCGUCCUUCUGGGCGGUGCACUCGGUCGCGAUCAGGCCAGCAUCGGUUCGGGCGGCCGGAUAAAGGCCCCGGGAACGUAGCUCCUUUCGGGGAGUGUUAUAGCCCGGGGUGCAAUGCGGCCAGCCUGGACCGAGGACCGCGCUUCGGCUAGGAUGCUGGCGUAAUGGUUGUAAGCGGCCCGUCUUGAAACACGGACCAAGGAGUCUAACAUCUAUGCGAGUGUUUGGGUGUCAAACCCACGCGCGGAAUGAAAGUGAACGGAGGUGGGAACCCUGAAGGGCGCACCAUCGACCGAUCCAGAUGUCUUCGGAUGGAUUUGAGUACGAGCAUAGCUGUUGGGACCCGAAAGAUGGUGAACUAUGCCUGAAUAGGGUGAAGCCAGAGGAAACUCUGGUGGAGGCUCGCAGCGGUUCUGACGUGCAAAUCGAUCGUCAAAUUUGGGUAUAGGGGCGAAAGACUAAUCGAACCAU